AUGUUGCCCAGACAAAUAUGGAGGCUUGUACAGUGUCCAGAGUCCCUAUGUGCCAGAAUUUUACAGGCCCGUUAUUUCCGUGAUGGCCAACUACUUGAUGCAAAACCAAGGGAUGGCAUUUCAUAUGUGUGGAGAAGCUUGCUGCAUGACCUACAACUCUUCCGGGAGGGCUAUAUUUGAAGGAUUGGGGAUGGCACGAGGGUGAACAUCUGGUCCGAUCCAUGGCUUCCCCGACCUUGGUCUAGGGGGGUCAUCACUCCCCGCGGGCAUAGCUUGCUGGAAUGGGUUAGCGAUAUAAUAGAUCCUGGUACUGGGACAUGGGAUGAGCAACUCGUGAGGGAGAGCUUCUAGGCGGAUGACGUGAAGCACAUACUUCAAAUUCCCCUAAGAGAAGGUGUCCAGGAUGUUAUAGCGUGGUAGUAUGACAGCAAGGGUGUCCACUCAGUAAAGAGUGCCUACAAGCUCCAUGUCCAAAUUGAUAAGAUUAAGAAGGAUGGGGGAACGGGAGGGAGCUCACAUGAUCCUGGCAACUUGGAUAGCAUCAAUGAUGACUCGUGGAAACGUUUGUGGAAGCUGCCAUGCCCUCGUAAUAUUCAGAUGUUUGCAUGGAUACUGAAGCACAAAUAUCUAGCCUUACGCACAAAUGUGGCGAGAAAGGGAAUCCCCAUAGAGGAUACCAAAUGUCUCUUAUGUGGAAGGGCUGACGAGGAUGGAGCACACCUGUUUAUCAAAUAUAAAGCAGCUAAAGUGGUGUGGAGGGAACUAGCUCUGGAGCGGGAACGUCUCCAACUAGAGCGCAUUGGGUCUGUGCAUGCAAUGUUCGAUUAUCUCUGGGGUCUAUAUGUGAAAAAGAGGCUGCAUAUUCUUACCUUCUGGUGGCAGUGGUGGUCCAACAGAAACAAGCUACGAGAAGGGGAGAUGCCGCUGACGGCCUAUGAUGUGGCUCGUUGUACGAGGAGUAACGUGCUGGAGUACUUGGAGAUCUUCUGCAAGCCUCCUAAUACCCCCAAACCUGACAAGUGGAGGCCCCCGGGGGAAGAUGAGUACAAGAUCAAUGCGGACGGGUCCUUUAUACAGGGCCAACAACACGCAGCAUGGGGUGUCGUCGUUAGAACUGCUGAUGGCAGCCUUGUUUGCGCCCGCGCGGGGAGACAGGAGCACAUCAACGAUGCCUUUGCAGCGGAGGUGAUGGCCACGUCACACGUUAUCCAUACCGCUGUAGACCUUGGGAUCGUUCGUGUGGAGCUGGAAACUGACUCGCAGUUGGUGGCAGAGGUGCUAGACAUUCAAAGGUGGAUUCCUCGGCAUAUGCGGCGGUCAUCGAGGACAUGA
rnacentral:rRNA from 1 species